UGGGGAAUCUUCCGCAAUGGGGGCGAAAGCCUGACGGAGCAACGCCGCGUGAGUGAUGACGGCCUUCGGUUGUAAGCUCUGUGAUCGGGGACGAACGGUCGGCAGACGAAUACUCUGCUGAAGUGACGGUACCCGAAUAGCAAGCCACGGCUAACUACGUGCCAGCAGCCGCGGUAAUACGUAGGUGGCAAGCGUUGUCCGGAAUUAUUGGGCGUAAAGCGCGCGCAGGCGGCUUCUUAAGUCCAUCUUAAAAGUGCGGGGCUUAACCCCGUGAUGGGAUGGAAACUGAGAGGCUGGAGUAUCGGAGAGGAAAGUGGAAUU
rnacentral:rRNA from 1 species